UAAAAGUUUAGACUGUAGAGCCAAAAAUUGAGAAAAUAAAGAGAAAAAGAGAAUAUUGCAUUACUAGAAGAAUAACUACACGUAACAGAAGAAUAAAAGCAAUUGAAUGGUCCACACGGCAAUAGGAAGUUUCAUAGAACAUUUUUGUCUUAAGUUUUCUCCUUGUUUUAAAGUUACAUAUCACAUACCACAAAAACAUACUCAUUCAUAUUCUGCAUUCUAAAACUCUUUUCAUCCAAUUUCUCUCAAGUCUCAUGGCUAUACAAUCACCUUCCUCUUCCUCUUCAUUUUCCUUUGGAUUCACUUACCAAGUGUUCCUUAGUUUUAGGGGCACUGACACUCGGCACGGUUUUACCGGCAAUCUCUACAAGGCUCUUACUGACAAGGGAAUCCAUACCUUCAUUGAUGACAAUGAUCUUCAAAGAGGAGACGAAAUCACACCAUCACUCGUCAAGGCCAUUGACGAAUCUCGGAUUUUUAUUCCCAUAUUUUCUGCCAACUAUGCAUCUUCUUCAUUUUGUUUGAACGAACUUGUCCACAUCAUUCAUUGCUAUAAGACAAAGGGUCGCCUCGUUUUGCCUGUUUUCUUGGGUGUGGAACCUACUAAUGUGCGACAUCAGACAGGUAGUUAUGGUGAAGCAUUGGAUGAGCAUGAAAAAAGGUUUCAAAAUGAUAAGAGUAACAUGGAGAGGUUGCAGCGAUGGAAAGUGGCUCUGAGCCAAGCUUCUAACUUGUCCGGCUACCAUUUUUGUCCUGGAUAUCAAUACGAAUUUAUUGGGAAGAUAGUCAAAGACAUCUCCAACAAGAUCAAUCGUGAUAUUUUACAUGUAGCCAAAUACCCUGUUGGAUUACAAUCCCGAGUACAACAGGUAAAACUGCUUCUCGAUAAGGAAUCUAAUGAAAAGGUUAACAUGAUAGGACUUUAUGGUACUGGAGGCUUGGGAAAAUCAACACUUGCAAAAGCAAUUUAUAAUUUCAUUGCUGAUCAAUUUGAAGGUUUAUGUUUUCUUCACGAUGUGAAAGAGAAUUCAGCUAAAAAUAACUUGAAACAUCUCCAAGAGAAGCUCCUUUUAAAAGCAACUGGGUUGGAAAUUAACUUAGACCAUGUUAGUGAGGGAAUUCCAAUCAUUAAGGAAAGGCUGUGUAGAAAGAAGAUUCUUUUGAUUCUUGACGAUGUUGACAGACUUGAGCAGCUAGAGGCUUUGGCUGGAGGACUUGAUUGGUUCGGUUGUGGAAGCCGAGUAAUCAUUACCACUCGAGACAAACACUUACUAACCUGUCAUGGGAUAGAAAGUACGCAUGCAGUUGAAGGGCUAUAUGGGGAAGAAGCUCUUGAAUUGUUAAAGUUGAUGGCUUUUAAAAAUGGCAAUGUUCCUUCCAGUUAUAAUGACAUUUUAAUUCGUGCACUUACUUAUGCUUCUGGCCUUCCAUUAGCUAUAGUAACAAUAGGCUCGAACUUGUUUGGAAGGAGCGUAGAAGAUUGGAAGCGUACAUUGGAUGAGUAUGACAAGAUUCCGAAUAAAGAGAUCCAAAGGAUACUUAGAGUAAGUUAUGAUGCUUUGGAGGAAAAGGAUCAAAGUGUCUUUCUAGACAUUGCUUGUUGCUUCAAUGGGUGUAAAUGGACAGAGGUCAAACAAAUACUUCAUGCUCGUUAUGGCCAUUGCGUAAAACAUCAUGUUGGAGUGUUGGCUGAAAAAUCUCUCAUAGACCAUUGGGAAUAUGACGAUGAUGUGACAUUACAUCAUGCUGAAGGGUUGGAUGGAAAAUAUCGCAUAUACAAAGAUGAUGUUCGUGUGACAUUACACGACUUGAUAGAGGACAUGGCUAAAGAAGUCGUCCGUCAAGAAUCACCCAAGAAUCCUGGAGAACGCAGCAGGUUGUGGUUUUACGACGAUAUAGUUCAAGUUUUAAAAGAAAAUAUGGGAAGUAGGAACAUUGAAAUGAUAUAUUUGAAUUGUCACUCAACGGAAAACGUAAUAGAGUGGGAUGGAAAUGCCUUCAAGAAAAUGACAAAUCUCAAAAUACUUAUCAUUGAAAAUGGUCAUUUUUCUGAAGGUCCUAACUAUCUUCCAAGUAGUUUGAGAUGUUGGAAAUGGGAAGAGUAUCCUUCGAAGUCUCUAUCAUGUUUUUCGAACAAGAAGUUCGAGAAUCUGAAAGUCUUGAUAUUGGACCGUUGUCAAUAUUUAACCGAUAUAUCCAAUGUCUCAAAUCUUCCAAAUUUAGAAGAGUUUUCGUUUCAAGAUUGUAAAAAUUUAAUCACAAUUCACAAUUCUAUUGGGCACUUGAAUAAACUUGAAAUCAUAAGAGCAACCGGUUGCUGCAAGCUCGAGAGUUUUCCACCCUUACUGCUGCCCUCUCUUAAGGAAUUGGAACUCUCUUAUUGUGAGAGUCUCAAGAGUUUUCCAGAGUUGUUAUGCAAGAUGACAAAUAUAAAAGAUAUUUUUUUAUUUUUUCAUACUUCCAUAGAAGAAUUGCCAUUUUCGUUUCAAAAUCUCAGUGAACUUCAUGUCUUACAAAUAUAUCAUGUUAGAAUGCUGAGGUUCCCAAAACAUAAUGAUAAAAUGUAUUCUAUAGUGUUUUCAAAUGUGACAGAACUUACUCUCUUGAACUGCAACCUCUCAGAUGAAUGUCUCCAAACAGUUCUCAAGUGGUGUGCUAAUGUGAAAAAUCUAAACUUAUCGAGUAACAAGUUCAAAACUCUUCCUGAGUGCCUUAGUGAGUGUCACCGACUUUGGAACCUAAAUGUUGAGUGCUGCUGGUGUCUUGAGGAUAUUAGAGGGAUUCCACCAAAUCUAAAUUACUUUUCUGCAUUGAGAUGCAAAUCAUUGAGUUCCUCAAGUAGAAGAAUGUUAUUGAAUCAGAAACUAUAUGAGGCUGGAGACACCAAUUUUCGCUUCCCAAACGGAACAGAGGGGAUCCCAGAUUGGUUUGAGCACCAAAUCAAGGGAGACACAAUUUCUUUCUGGUUUCGUAAAAAGAUCCCUUCUAUAACUUCGAUUCUACUUUUUCCGAGAUCUAUGCAGAUUCCAAGAAUCAAUUUGUUUUUCAAUGGCUAUAGAUUGGAAGAUAUUAAUUUCUUACUGUGUGGUUCUGGCAUGAUGUUCAAUUUGGACUCGGAACAUGCAUUUUUGUUUGAUCUGAAAUUGGAAGAACAGAUUAAAUUCGAGUUGGAAAUGGACAAAGCACCUCUAAAAAAUGAAUGGAUUCAUGUAAAGCUGAUUGUGGGUAAGUUUAGUUGCACGAUGGUGGAUGAUUUUAGAGAGGAUGAGAUUCAAAUAUUAAGGAGUGUACAAAUGGGAAUCCACGUGUUGAAGGAAAAAAGCAACACGGAGGAGAAUGUGAUAUUCACCAAUCCUUAUAGAAAAUAUAGCAAUACUUCUUUAUCACAAUUUGAGCCUUCUCUGAAAAAGCAAAGAUUGGGUGAAGUUGGAGUUUCAGAGACAGAAAUUUUGCAUCAGCAACAUUUAGCAGCUUUAUUGUCAGGAAUGAAGAACUUGGUGCUUACUGAAACAAAAGAAAAGUAACACCAUGGCUAAAUUCCUUGGUCCAGGUACAUCAUUACCAUAAUUAUAAACUGAUUAACUGUUUCUAUUUGGAGAUGUUAUUCAAAUUAUCGAGACAUGUUUAGUCUCUGAGAUGUGUUCGCAUCCAACACCAAUAGAUGUGAUUACAUUCAAAUAUGUUAUUUUCUCAAAUUACUAUCGGUGUUAACAAAACAUUGUCGAGUCCAUUGUCCUAUAUGUCAGUGCGGGAAAUGGUUUUUCCCUCUUGACUGACAGAAAUUUUAGAAAUUAUAAGCGAAAACAUUUUGCACAUAAAGCUUGCUCUUGGCGAGUAUAUACAUUUCAUGAACCUCUAUUGUUCUAAUUAGUUAUGAUUCAGAUUUAACUAUGAUAGAAGCUUUUUGUCGGUUUAUCAAUGGCAUUCUUUUCUAUUUGAAUGCCUGUGACCUGUAGAAAGGAGAAGCCAUAGCCAUUACAUAAGGAUGCUUCAAAGGCAUCAGAAGCAAUCAGUUCUGAUAAAAGUUUUGGAAUCCAUCUCUUAGGGCUUCCGACAAUAUUCGUUCAAUUCAGGUGUAGUUGAAGUUGGCCACUUUCACAAAUCGUCUAAUAAAUUACAUCGAAUCCUAGAUGAAUGUAGUUACAAAAACCAUCUGUUGUCAUCUAGCCAUUCGCAUUGUCAUGCCGGAUGUCUAGUAGUCGCUCGCACCACAGAAUCCGUUGGUUUUUAGAAAGGGUGGUGAGCAAUGAUAUGCUCUUCAGCUCAGUUGACGAUUUUUGAGAAUUUCAAUCUUAGUGCACAAAUUGGAUCCCAUUUGUUCAAUAAGAAAAGAAACAUGGAAGAGGAUGUGAUUUUCACCAAUCCUUACAGAAAGAGUAAAUCGGACGAAGAUCAGAACUUGGAUGUUUCUGAGACAGAUCUUGUGUAGCAGAAACUGCAUGGCUCGUGUUUACGAAGACCAUAUUUUCAACGAAAACCACAUAAUUGAAGACACAGAAGUAUUAAAUACGAAGUCUUUUUUUGUAAUCCAUCUUCAUAUUUUUCCUUGUUAUGUAUUAACAAUCUAUGAUUAAAUUUCUUUUAAGAAUGCAAGAGUUUGUACAUAUUGUGAUACCAACAGAUGGUUCAUCACAAUCUCUAUUUAUUGAUGUGAACUUACAUUUCAAAAAUGUGGAUGCUUAGUUUAUAUUUUUAA